rnacentral:rRNA from 1 species
UACGUAGGCAGCGAGCGUUGUUCGGAAUUACUGGGCGUAAAGGGCGCGUAGGUGGUUACUUAAGUCAGAUGUGAAAUCCCUGGGCUUAACCUAGGAAUUGCAUUUGAAACUGAGUAGCUAGAGUAUGGGAGAGGGAAGUGGAAUUUCCGGUGUAGCGGUGAAAUGCGUAGAUAUCGGAAGGAACACCAGUGGCGAAGGCGACUUCCUGGCCCAUUACUGACACUGAGGCGCGAAAGCGUGGGGAGCAAACAGG